rnacentral:rRNA from 1 species
UAGGGAAUCUUCCGCAAUGGACGCAAGUCUGACGGAGCAACGCCGCGUGAGUGAAGAAGGAUUUCGGUUCGUAAAACUCUGUUGUUAGAGAAGAACAGCGCAUAGAGUAACUGUUAUGCGUGUGACGGUAUCUAACCAGAAAGCCACGGCUAACUACGUGCCAGCAGCCGCGGUAAUACGUAGGUGGCAAGCGUUGUCCGGAUUUAUUGGGCGUAAAGCGCGCGCAGGCGGUCAAUUAAGUCUGAUGUGAAAGCCCCCGGCUCAACCGGGGAGGGUCAUUGGAAACUGGUUGACGUGAGGGCAGAAGAGGAGAGUGGAAUUCCAUGUGUAGCGGUGAAAUGCGUAGUUAUAUGGAGGAACACCAGUGGCGAAGGCGACUCUCUGGUCUGUAACUGACGCGGAGGCUCGAAAGCGUGGGUAGCAAACAGG